rnacentral:lncRNA from 1 species
GGAUAUUAUUUUUUUUUCGUAAUGAUAUUAUUUCUUCAAUAUCAUUAUGCUGAAAUAUUGAUCUGAAGUUUUUAUCAAAUUUGGAACUUUUGGUGUCGGAGUUACUAUUUACGUAUACGGCACUAUUCACGUAUACGGUACUAUUCACGAAUACGGCACUAUUCAUCGAAAAAUAAAAAAUUUCCUUUUCGUCCAAAAUAUCUAUUGUGGAUACUAGUUUUGAUUGUAUCCAUGUUUUGAUCAUUCUUGAAUUUUACACCACUAUGAUUAUUUUUGAGGUAUUUUUGGACGUGGAUAAAACAAAGUACGAAUCCUUAAUCCUUAAUCAUUGUCAUUUUGUUUCUCUGGAUUCGUUUCUUUAAAAAAAAAAUAUUUUUCAUCAUCUUCAGUCUUAAAUGAUGAUAUUAUUGAAUAUCUUUGGCCUGUAGUGCAAAGAUGAUUGAUUUCUGAUGAAUAUCUUUGACCUGUAGUGCAAAGAUGAAUGAUUUCUGAUGAAUAUCUUUGGCCCGUAGUGCAAAGAUGAACAGGUGUUUAGAUGAACAUGACCAACUGGUGAAUGUCCUUGGCCUGUAGUGCAAGGAUGAAUAUAUAAUUCCAGAUAUAUAUUGAUUGAUGUUACAGGGAUAAAAAUAUUGAUGAUGGACUGUUAAAUUCAUAGAUAUUAGUAGAUUUCAUCCUCUACGUAACUCUUCUAUGAAUGAAUAUUUUCCGCUGCGAGUAUUGAUUUAAAACUGGUUGUCUAUUGUAUUCUAUUAAAUUUUUUCCUGUUGAAGACUAACGAUAAUUUGUUGUAUAUUAUCUUAGUCAUAAUAUUCUUUACUGGGCUAGUUGAGCUCACCCUUUUCCUUUUUGUUCCAUUUUUCUUCUCAGGAGGCGAGAAUGUAGCGAGUACGAGUCGGGGUAUGGAAUGAUGGUUUUAGAGAGUUGUUUAGUAGUCCUCACCAUUUUUGUAAAAUAAUGUAUCAAUAAUUAUGAUGAGAAUUUAUUUGUAUGUGGAUAUUGUUUAGAUGUCAAUAUCUGUAUUUAAACUCACAGUUUUACUGUUGUAAUAAUAAAGUUGUAGUUAUUUCUGUACCGUGUAUUGACAACUCAAAAUGGGUGAUGUAUACCUAUUUUGGGGGUGUCACGUUCUGUCUCAUCUACUGUCCCAUGUUAUUAAGCUUAACAUAAUUAUUUUUUAUAAUUAACUUUUAUAGUGGAUAAAUAUUACUUGACAACAAUACAUGUGAUGAGAUGCUGGAUCAGAUACGAAAAUGGAUAACAGAUCUGAAUUCCUUAAAAUAUUACGAAAAUGAUAUACAUGUUGAUAAAUAUUUGACGAAAUUAGAUUGUAAUAAACGUGGAAGUCUAUAUGAUUACGAUAAACGUCGAAGUUAGAUUACUUCUACUUUUUGAUGUAUCAUGUAUGCAUCUUUCUCUAAUAUUUUUAAAAUAAAUAAUAAUCUAAUUUAUAUUAUUUUUAUAACAUAAGAAAUUUAAAUAUUUAUUAACAAAUUUGUGAUUUGAAAGACGUAUUAGAGGUCAAUAAGGUGUGUGUGUGUAUAUAUAUACGGUCCGGAUCAAGUGCAUACCCCUUAUCUUACUCACCCGUGCUCACCCCCUUUAGCGACGGACCCGGCGACGGUUUGGUCAUACAACUGUCGUCUAUACUUUUAGCGACGCUAUAUGUUGUCCGUCGCUAAAAGUAUAGACGACGGUUGUAUGACUGAAACCGUCGCUGGNNNNNNNNNNNNNNNNNNNNNNNNNNNNNNNNNNNNNNNNNNNNNNNNNNNNNNNNNNNNNNNNNNNNNNNNNNNNNNNNNNNNNNNNNNNNNNNNNNNNGAACCGGGCGACGAUUCGGUCCGUCGCAAUAUAUAGAACCGUCGUCUUAGCUUUUAGCGACAAACAACAUAUAGCGACGGACUGAACAUAUAGCGACGGACCGAAUCGUCGCCCGGUCCGUCGCUAAAGGGGGGUGAGCAAGGUGAGCUAAAUAAGGGGUGAGUUUAAGAUCCGUACUGAUUAGUUGUUAUGUUAACAAUAUUGUAACCAAAUAUAUGAUUUAUUUAUACAAUCGACCAAAAAGCACAAAAUUAUCUAAAAGAAUUGGUUCAGGAGCACUUUCCCGAACCCCAAUUAAAUUAUUUAUAGCAUCAAAAUAUUUUAACCCCACUGAAUAAAAAACUAUGGCUUCGCCACCGGUUGAAACAUAUGAACAAAAUUAGAGCCACGGAGGAGUUCCUGCUUUGCAGGAACUUGAAUGUGUAACUACUAUGUUCUGCCUAACCAUUUCACCAGAGAAUGAACAUAUUAAAUAUUCUGCCUAACCAUUUCCACUUGUUUGAUGACUAAUAUUUUAAAUAAUUUAUUGGACAAAAAAUCUAUGCUUUUACUGUUCUUUUCCUCUAAUAAUGGAAUAUGAUGCCUUGUGUUAAAGAAAUCACAAGAAUUUGAGUUGAUGUCAAAGGUGGAUCCUCUCAUUUCUAAAUUUGGAAGGCUGACGAUAUAAACACUAGCUACUUAGUUGACCAAAUUGACUUGACUUAAUUAAAUUAGGGCAUCAUUUGGUUACUAGCUAUAUUUACUUUCAUUUUUAUUUCCUAAUAAGAUUUGAUGUUUACACCUCAAGAAAGGCUAACAAUCUGUGUAUGGUUUGUUAAUUGUAAGAGCAGUAAAUCAGUCCAAUAUAUAUUCCUCACUUUUCUGCACAUGAUUGCUUCUACCUUUUCCUUUUGCUACCCAGCCAAGGAAGCUGUACUCUUCUCCACCUUAUUUGGAAUGAUUUUAGUACCUUUUAUUCAUUUGUUAGAGAAUAAUAAUGCAAGCGAAAAGAAAUUGAAAGAAAAAUAAUCAAACAAAAGACACAAAUUUUAAGUGAUUCAUUUGAACACUCGGCUGUAAGUAAAUCAGUCUCACUAUCUACAUAAUUCAGUACAAGAUCACUUAUUGAAUAACUUCAUAAUUACCUUUAAAUCAAAGUCGAGUCGAAUCGGAUUCAUUAAUAAUAUCAUUCACAUUUCCAAAUUCUAGGGUGCUAUGAGGACCAGUUUGGACAAGUUUGAUGGUGUACAAUAAAACAAGAGGUAAAAUGAAGUCACUGUGAUAGGUUAUCAUUUUUAUUUAUUAAAAUUCACAAAAGUUAGGUUUUGAGGGUGUCCCAUCUAGACAACUUGCUAAGGUCCCUUGGCUUUAAGAUACUAUCUAUCCACAUGCAGGUGGAGGGCCCUGCAUACAGACAAUAUGCAGGUAAUUGCACACUAGGAGACUGUACAACAAUAGCCAUAUCAUUUUAUUUAGAAUCCUUAUUAUCUCAAGUCCAUUUCAAAAAAAGUUCAUUUCAAAUGGAUUCCUCACUUUUAACCUUGGAAAAAAUAUGUUCUUCAGGCCUAUGUGGUCCUUCCCCAUGAUUGGAAAUUUGGAAACAUUAAUUUUCUAGUUGGUUUUCUUAUAUGGUAGAUGACUGGAUAUUGUCAUUGAGCCUUUGUGGACUCCAUGCCUUUAUGAAUUUAGUUGGAUUAGGCCCUCUCUUUUAUGGGUUGACAAGGGAAUCUUAAAACCCUGACCAUGAUUAGGGGAUGCCUAAUUACAUGGUCCAUCCAUUCCACUCAACUAGUAGAAAAGCUUGAAAACCCCACCAUGAUGGAAUCUUUGAAUAAAGUUUUAUGAAAGAAAGCUUUCUGAAUGGACAUGGGAAAGUACUAAAAGAGGUUGUUUUGGUGAUGGAAUGUUCCAAAAGAUAAGGAGAGAUAAGGGCACAAGUUACAUGAACCAACAACCAAUAAGAAAUGCAGAAUUUCAGUUAGUAAGACAUGCUCUUUAGGAGAUUGGACAUUGGUUAUGUCUAAAAGAGACAAUUAAUGACCCAUUUGCUGUUAGUAGUAUAUUCGAAUAGAUUAGAUAGAUAUGUUUCAUCUUUUCAAGUCAAAUAAGUACAUCUUGUUAUGUAAAACAGAGGUGUAUUCCUUGGUUAGAGUUUGGUUCCAUAAAUUUUCCUUAAAUUGGAUACUAUGUAGAGUGAUGUAUAGGGCAUAUUUUUCUGUUGGUGUGCCAAUAAUAUAUUAACAACAUUGUUAAUCGAGUUAAAUAUCAUUGGACAAAAAAAAUGGUAUUGCUUGUGAUGUGCAUUGAGCAAAUAGCAAUAUAGUAAAACUUCUGUAAAAAAAAUUUCAGGGUUAGUUCAAUUGGUACAUACCUACAAAAAAAUCUAGAGGUCACUAAAUCGAGCUUGAAUACCCAAACAGUUCAGACUCGAUUCAAACUCGACUCGAAAUAUAAAUAAUUUAAAUAUCAACAGAUUUUAAAAUUUGAUAAAUUAGUAGAAUUUUCUCAAAUUAUAAUUUUCUAUUGAUAUUUGAAUCAUAUUCGUUCGAAAAGUUUAAAUUGCUCUGGCUCAAUUCGAGAUCAUGUUCAACUCGGUAGCUAAACGAGUCUCAAUCAAAUUUUAUUUUAUACUAGAUGAUAUGUUUGUUUGCGAGGAUUACAUUUGGAUUCGAAAAGUUCAAACUGUUCGGGCUCAAUUCGAGAUCAUGUUCGACUCCGUAGCUAAACGAGUCUCAAUCAAAUUUUAUUUUAUACUCGAUGACUAUGUUUGUUUACGAGGAUUACAUUUGGGUUCGAAAAGUUCAAACUGCUCGGACUCAAUUCGAGAUCAUGUUCGACUCGGUAGCUAAGCGAGUCUCAAUCAAAUUAUAUUUUAUAUUUAAUGACUAUGUUUGUUUGCGAUUAUUAAAUUUGGGAUAUGACUAUUAAUGUCAAGUGUUUGUUUGUUUUUAAAUUUGGACUUUGGACUAUUAGUCCAAGUUUAUAAAAUGAUAGUAUGAGGGAUUAUUUAAUACCAUGUUCAACUAAAUAUUACUACCUUCGUUCCUUAAUAUAGGUCGUUUUAGAGAAAUAUUUUUGUUCUUAAAUAUAAGUCGUUUGAGAAUUUCAAGUAAGCAUUAAUUGAUUAGUUUCCAAUAUUACCCCAAGUAAUAAAUAUAACUUUAGUUCUCUCACUAUUUUUUGACCAAUAAAUAGUACUCUUUUUUUCCAAUAUAAGGGCAAUAUAGACAAUUGAUAAUAUAUUUAAUGUUUUACAAUCAUUUUCUUAAUACUUGUGCAUAACUCUAAAACGACCUAUAUUAAGGAACGGAAGGAGUAUAAUCCCAUCAUUUAGAACUAAAAAUUUCACAAAAUUAACCUCAAAUUUAUCAUAUUCUAUUCAUUUAUGAGCCAUUUCAAAAUUCCAAACGAUGAAGAGAGCUUUACUAAAAAAGAACAUGAGAAUUCAGGAUAUGAAGAUAGAAUAGCAUGACCAAAAAAGAUUCAAUGGUCUUUAAGAAACUAACCAACUGAAACUAUUAAGUAAUGUAAAAAUGUCAGAAUAUAUGUCUGUUGCAUAUUUUGUUUUAAAAUUAUAGAUAUAUUUUGAAAUAAUUUUUUUUUUUUUGAAAAAUAUUUUAAAGAACAUGUUCUUGAUAUUUGUCAAAAAUUUAGUAAAAUUAAAAAUACAUUUUUUUGUUUUAAAAUUAAUGAAUUGAACAAAAUAAUUUUUAAUUUUUAAACGAAGGAACCAAAUAUUUUUUCGUACACAAGACCAUACAUAUAAAUCAAUAAAUCUCUAGAUACACAUAAUUGUUCCAAGAUAAUUAUGAUAACGUUCCAUAAAAAUCACAACUAAAAAAAUUACCAUAAUAUCAUCCAAAUAUUGUUAUUUACUGUUAGUUAAUUUAAUAUUAUUAAUUAUCUUAGUUAAUUUACUGUUAGUUAAUUUGUAUCUUUAUUUACGAGCACAGCUAACUUAUUUUAACGGUAUUUAAAAGUUUAAAAUUAAUUGUUCAUCAUUUUUUGAUGUCUAAACAAGUUUAAAUUAUAGUUUAAAAUAUGUUAUUAUUGGUAAGGGUAUAAUAGUCGAAAUGGUAAUUUUUUAUCGAAUACUUUAAUUAAUUCUGAAAAAAACAAACAUAACAUGAGAUUAUUUUAAGUUAUCCCAUAAAUAAUCUCAUUAUAAAAAACAAACAUGUGAUUAGGACUAUUUAAUUCUAGGAUUAAUAGUCUUGGGAUUAUAAUCUCAUGUAUUAUAAUCCCGGGAAUAUAAUGUUUGCAAACAAAUAUGGCCGAUAAAUUUUAUGAACUAAAUUUGAGUAUUUUAAUACUCGACUCGACUCGGUUCAUUUAUAUGUGAUUUAAUUAAUAAGAAUACAGAGGAAAUUUGCACUAUGUUUGUGAGUUUUGGAUAUGAAAAAAUAUCCUUUGACUAUAAUUAACAAAUCUCUCACUAAAUAAUUAAUAAUUAAAAAAUAUCUUUUGACUAUAGUUACAGUGCAUAAUUAAUUUAAUAAAUCGCUCAGUAAAUAUUUUUUAAAAAAGAUAAAUUUGAAAUUGUGAUAUUUUAUUUGAAAAAAAAAUAUUUUUUCAAAUAAAAGUGUAUAUAUUUAUGACACUACAAUUUUAUUUUAUUUUUAAAAAAAUCAAAAAUAAAAUGAUUCUUCCAUUUCAAACAGGAGUGGAUGUAUAACACAAACUAAUCCAACCCAACCAAUUCCUGCACCAAGGCCCAAGAAAAUAAGUUUGCUGAGGGAAAAUAUUUAGGGUCCUUAACACUAAUAUACAACAAUUAGAAAGUAAUUAUAGAAAUAAAAUAUCUAUAAAAUAAUUACAAAAAUAACGCAACACAAUAUUACCUUGCUAAAAUUACGCGUCAUUAACUCCCUACACGUCAGUUACCGACUUUCAUAUUUUCAACUGACCAAUCUUAAAUUCACGCUAAUAAAGAAAAAAGGUAACUUGGAGAUCAGAAAAAACAGAGCAACGACAGAUCGAUCGGAGAAGACGAGAUGCAACUCUGAGAUCGGAUAAUAGAGGAGAAAAUCAACAGCAACUUCAAGAUCAACAACAACUUCAACAAGAUCAACAACAACUUCAAGAUCAGAAAUCAACCUGUGUAACAACUUUGAGUUUAUAGUUUAUAUGCAUAUAAUUACCCCGUGGGUACUAUAUACUCGUAUAUUGGUUACCUUUCUUAAGUUUUUCGCUCUUUAAUUGGUAACAAAGUCAGUAUACUGACUGUUUUGAUUUCAAAAUGCAUGUAAAAAUAUGUUUUAUAUUCUGGUUACUAAGUACAUAUAAAUUGGUUACUGUUUAUUAUUGAUUUGGUUACUGUAUAAUGUUUAUUUGGUUGCUGUAUACUUUAAAUGUAUAUUCUACUGAUGUUUUUUAUAUUGAUGGUUACUUAUUAAAUACAUUGGUUACCUUCCUGCAACUGUUGAAUCUUUAAGUACAUAUUGAUGUUUUUUAUAUUGAUAUUUUUUAUAUUGUUUGUUUUUGCUGUAAAAUGCAUGUCAAAUAUGUUUUAUGUUAUGGAUACUAAGUAAAUAUAUGUUGGUUACUGUCUAAUCUGAAUUUGGUUAGUAUAUAAUGCUGACUUGUUUACUGUGUAAUAUUACCAUGGUUACUACAUAAUAUUACUGUGUUUUAUACUGAUUUUUUUUAUAUUGAUGGUUACUGAUUAACUACAUUGAUUAACUUCAUACACAUGUUAGUCUUUAAUGAAGUGACAUUUGAUCCAGUGACAUUGAUUAACUACAUUUGAUCCAGUUUAUGGAAAGAUUUGAUAGAUCACGAAAAGAUUUGAUCCAGUGACAAUUUGGCAAUUUCUGUCAAGUUUGGAGUGCCGAAUUUUGGCAUUUUCGGAGCCUAAUUUCAUUGAAAACGGGUCAACGAUCAAAAGUCACCAGCAAAGCUGGUGAAUUGCAGGGUUUUUUGGUCAAAUUCCAUCAUUUAGGCCUUCAAAAUUGCUUGUAAAAAUGUGAUUUAUAUUCUGGUUACUAAGAUUAUGUAAUUUGGUUACUGUCUAAUAUUGAUUUGGUUACUUUACAAUAUUUAUUUAGUUGUUAGACAAUGGAGACUGACAGUAACCAAUACAACAAAUUUAAUUGUUACAAGAAUAUAUAAUUGUUUACUGUUAGUAACCAUUAACCACAUGGUUGGUAACAUUUUUGAUGGUGUACAGUAACCAAAAUUGAUGUUGAUUAAUAUUUUAAUUUUUGAUUCCAUCGUGAGUUAUCAAUAUAAAGUAAACAUAUACAUUGAACAAUUGGUAACUGUUCUGAAAUAUUUUUAUGUAAAUUUAGUUACCCAUCUAAAAUAAAAUGGUUACCUCUAUAUUCAUAUUUAGUUACCAAUUGGCAUGAACCAUUUCCAAAUAACUUUUAUAACUACGUAAUUUAAAAGUAUCCAUGAUCAGCUAGAUAAAUGGAAACACUCUCAUGUACAUUAAGCACUUGAUAAUUGUUCUGAUAUAAGUUUUUAAUUAUUUGGUUACUAACAAAAACUAAAAUGGUUACCCUUAUAUGCAUGUUUGGUUACCAACUGCACCUUUUAAGCUAUUUUUAUUUUAAUAUGAGAUCUAUAAGUGACCAUCAUAUAUAUAAAUGAAAACUCUUAAUUGGAGUUUCUUAUUCUAUCAUGAUGAUAGGGUAUAAAUAAAACAUAUACCUUUAACACUUUAUAACAGUCUUGAUACAAGUUUAUAAUUAUCUGGUUACUAACAAGCUUGUAACUAUCUAUGAUAAUUAUCUAUGAUAAUUAUCUGGUUACUAACAAGCUUGUAGAUAAAUAGGACACUCACACAUGUACAUUUAACAAUUGAUGUUUGUCCUGAUUUAAGCUUGUAACUAUUUGGUUACUAAUAACAGUAACCAUAAUGUAACAUAAUAAAAUAGUAACCACAUAAUUAUAUGAUAGUAACCAGAACAUGUUUUAAUGGUAACCAAAAUAGAAACAUCAUGUAAUGAAACUCAGUUUAGACAAUCCAUGUAUACUAAACAAUUACAUAUUAACUAGAAUAAAAAAUAAAAGUAUCUGAAAUCCCACAUUGAGGACACAAUAAUAGUAGCCAAACCAUAAGGUAACAGUAACCAAAACCUAAUAAAGAAGUAACCAAAUAGUUAUAUGAAAGUAACCAGAACAUGUUUUAAUGGUAACCAAAACAGAAACAACCUAUAUAUCCAAUCAAGUUUAGGCAACCCAUGUAUACUCUCACAUGUACAUUUAACCAUAACUUUUUUAAUGAAUUUUUUAGAAGAGCAUAACCCUUGUAGAAUAUAUUUGAAGGAAUUUACAAAAAUAAUAAAUCAAUGUAUACUAAGUAAAUACAUGGUUUAUUAUGACUUGAGUUUAUUAUUUACAAAAAUAAUACAUCCACAAACUAAUGAUGCCUUAAACUUCUCCAACUGACUUGGGUUCAAUUUCUUGGUAAUAAUGCUGGGGACUUUUAUGUCACACCAAUAUAUAACUUUUUCAGUUAAUUUUCUGUUGCAUUUCUCAUAGUAAAGAUCCCAUAACUGCAAAUAAACAAAAUUAGAUUUACACAGUCAUUAGUAACCAGAUAUAAACAAUAUUUAUAACAUAAAUAGUUACGUAGUGACCAACAAAUAACAGCAUACUAACCAAAACAUAAUAUACCAAUUACACAGUAGUCAAAACAGACUAUAACAAAUAACCAACAUCCCACAUUGACUGCACAAUAAUAAUUAUCAUAUCAUAAUAUAACAUUAAUCAUACCAUAAUAAAGCAAUAACCAAAAAGUUAUAUUAUAUAAUCUAAUGGUGACCAAAAUAUAAACAACAUGUAGUACAGACAAUUUUAUGUAGUAAACAAACAGUUAUAUAUAAUAUUAACCAAAACAUAAUUUAAAGGUCACCAAAACAAAAACAUGUAUACCAAAAAAUUAUACUAAAGAAGUAACCAAACAGUUACAUGAUAGUAACCAAACCAUAUUUUAAUGGUAACUAACACAUAAACAACAUGUAUACCAAACCCAGUUUAAUCAACCAAUGUAUACUAAGCAAAUACAUUGGAACCAAAAUAACAUAUAAAAAUAACCAAAAUCUCAAUUGAGGGAAAAAAAUGGUAUCCAAAUCAUAAGUCAAUAACAACAAAAAAUAUACUAAUGAAGUAACCAAACAGUUAUAUGUUAGUAACCAAAACAUAUAUUAAUGGUAACCAAUACAUAAACAACAUAUAGACCAAACACAAUUUAGUCAACCCAUAUAUACUAAGCAAAUACAUGGUAACCAGAACAACAAAAAACAAUAACCAAAAUCCCACUCAAGGAAACAAAAAUAGAAUUCAAAUCAGAAACUAACAAUAACCAAAAACAUAUAAAGAAGUAACCAAAUAUUUAUAUGAUAGUAACCAAAAUAUGUUUUAAUGGUAACCAAUACAUAAACAACAUGUACACCAAAAUCAGUUUAGUCAACCAUGUAUACUAAGCAAAUACAUGGUAACCAUAACAACAUAAAAAAGUAACCAAAAUACCAAAUAAAGGUAACAAAAAUGGUAUCCGAAUCACAAAUAACAGUAACCAAAACAUAAUGUAAAAGUAACCAAACAGUUAUAUGAUAGUAACAAUAACAAAAUUUAAAUUAGCACACCUUUAAAAAUUUUUGGGUUGGAAAUAUCUUCUGGCUAUGAACUUGAGCUUCUGUCUUAACUACAGGAACAUCAAAAUCAGAAUCCAACUGCACAAACUCAAAUAAAUUUCUUCAAGUCCUUAAUAAAAUGACCCUCUGUGAUUCUUUUCCUCUUUCCAUCCUUCUUCCUUGUAUCAAUCAUUCUAUACAAAACAUAAAAACAACUCAAACUCAAACAAUCAAUACUCCAUUCUGUUAGAAACAUAGCGUAUAUAUAUGAUCAUAUUGACAAUUAAUUAGUAGAAUGAGAAUUAACAAAAAUUAGAAGCAGACCUUAUAGAGAGAAACCAGAAUCCUUUCAGUUGUGAGAGAGUUGGAGAGAGAAAGUCGCGUAUUCGACUGUGUGAUUUGUUGAUUAACAAGUGCGGCAAAAGUAAAUUAAAAAAUAAUUAAUUUACGCCACCAAUUAGUUAAUUAGUCUAACAACUGUGAUGAAGAAGAAGAAGAAGAAGAAGAAGAAGAAGAGAGAGAAAUACGAGUACAAAAGUUAUGGAGAAGAAGAAGAAGAUUUUAGAGAGAGAAAUAUCAGUAUAAAAAUUAUGGGAGUUGAGAGAAAAAGAAGGGUUAACAACAGAUAUUCACGCGUUUCAAAUAAAAAAUCACCAGAUAAUGAUCCCCUAAAUUAAGGAAUCCUAAUUGCACUAAUAUUGUAAAUAAAUAUGAAAAAGUGUAUUAUUUUUGUAAUUAUUUUAUCUAUGCACCAUUAUUAUAAUUAUUUUUAAAAAUAUACUAGUAUAUGUAAUUUAUCCAAAUAUUUAAGGACCUCCAAUCCAGCAUACACGAUGGAAUAAGAUCCAAGUUUAAUAUUUAACCGGUCCAUUUCAAGGGUUCACCCCCUUAUUUUACAUACAAUGUCCAUCCUUUUUAGCGACGGACCGGGCGACAUUUCGAUCCGUCGCUAUAUCAGAGAACCGUUUUCUUAAUUUUUAGCGACGGACAACAUAUAGCGACGAACCGAACCGUCGUCCAAUCCAUCGCUAAAGAAUAUGUAAGGUAUGUAGGAUCAAGGGGUAAGCCCAUGAUCCUUUCUUGAUACUUAACUACCUCCAGAUUCAACUUUUAGUUAACUAGCACCCUGCGACACACGUAUUAAGUGUGUAAAAUAUGUGGGAUAAUUCAUACGGUCUUCGCACAAUAGUUAUCUUCGCCCCUUGUGUAUCAUCAAAAUGGUGUGGUUUCAAACUUUGAUAGUGGCAAAUGUUGAGCAUAAGUAUUUAAAUUAUGUCACAAACUAACACCCAAAAAAAAUGUGAGGUAAAAUAAAGAUUUUAUAAAAUUUAAAGAACUAAAUAGAAAGAUAAGAAAAUAAUGUUAGAUGCGCAUAUAUGAAAUAGGAGGGUCAAGAGAACGAAUUUACAUACUAUUAUUUUAUUUUAUCUUUUGCAUUUAGAUAUUAUUUGUAAUUUAUAUACGAAUAAAAUUAGUUGUUAUAUGAAUUAUUUGUCUAAAAUUAUACUUAAAAAUCUUAUUUUAAAAAUAUAUUUUUAAUUUUGAGAGGAAAGGAGUAAUUACAUGGUCCAUCUAUUCCACCUUUGAAUAAAGUGAAGAUGAAAGAAAACUUUUUGAAUGGAGAUGGGAAAGUAGUAGUAAAAGAGGUUCUUUUGGUGAUGGAGUGUUCCAAAGAAUAAGGAGAGAUAAGAGCAUAAGUUACAUGAACCAACCAAUAAGAAUUGCAGGAUUUCAGUUAGUGAAACAUCAUGAUAUGCUGUUUAGGAGAUAGGAUAUUGGCCCAAUAGUUCCCAAUUAAUGACCCAUUAUUUGAUGUUAUAUUCGAAUAGAUUAGAUAGAUUUGUUUCAUCUUUUUAAGCCAAAUAAGCUCAGCUUGUUAUGUAAAACAUAGGUAUUCCUUCUUCAGAGUUUGAUUCCAUAAUUUUUACUGAUAGGGGCUUAAAUUGGAUACUACCUAGAACUAGAAUAAUGUAUAGGGUAUAUUUUUCAUUUGGUAUAUGGCAAGAAUAUGUUAAGAGAACAUUGUUAAUUGAGUAAAAAUAUUAUUGGACUAAAAAACACCAUGAAUGGUAUGGCUAUGGGCAUUGAGCAAAUAGCAAUAUAGUAAAACUUUUGCUUAAUAAAUUUUGAAAACUGAUAUUUUCACAACAGAAAAUAAUAGUUUCACAACAGAAAAUAAUAUUUUCAAAAUAAAAUUGUCAGUAUAAAUCCUAUAACGACAACUUUUAACGUCGUUAUACAUCUAUAACGAUACUCUAUAGGUCACUAAGUUUUGGCUGAAUGGGACUGAUAGGUGACGCACUAUGAAAUUACUUGGUUGUAUGGCUGGUGGCGCAUUUUGUUCACUUGAAUAUUAUAUACCGUACACAUAAAAACUAUUUUGGGUCUAUUGUGAUUUUUUUUUAAAUGUCUGACUAAGGAUGUAAUGAACUGAGUCGAGACAAGUAUUAAGUUGUUCAGAUUUGGUUAACAGAAUUUAUCGAGUAUAAAAUAAGAUUUGAUUGAGGCUCGUUUAGCUACCAAAUCGAGCAUGAUCUUGAAUCAAGUUCAAGCAGUUUGAACUUUUCGAACGAAUAUGAUCCGGGUAUCAAUAGAAAAUUAUAAUUUGACAAGGUUCGAGUAAUUUAUCUAAUUUUAAAAUUUGUUCAUAUUUGAAUCAUUUAUAUUUCAAGUCGAACUCUAAUCAAACAUGUACGAAUCGAAUCCAAACUGUUAACUCAUUUUACAAUCUUAUAUCCGACAUAGAUUAACUACUAUAGUUAUUGUGAUGUUGUUUUGAUAGUCAUUUACUAAACUUAAUGAACCACGACUUGACAAACUAGCAGGUAAUAUUAUACUCAAAAGAUAAGGUAAUAGAAACAAACUUUAACAUAUAUAUACGAAAUUAUUAAAUCUACAACAUAAAUUAUUGUUUUCACAAUAAAAAUGUCGCUAUAGAUUAUAUAGCGACUGUUAUAACGACGGUUUUCACUGUGCUAUAUAUUUAUAGCGACGUUUUUGUCGUAAAAAUAACAAAAAAUAUUGUAAAUUUGACAAUUUCCUAUAUAUAAUAUUUAAUCUUAUGGGUAAGAGUCUUAUUUAAUUUUUAUACGCACAGUUGGACCAAAUCUUUUUGAUAUUUUUUGAAACGGAUAAAUUUGAAAUUGUGAUAUUUUAUUUGAAAAAACAUAUUUUAAAAUAUAAGUGGAUAUAUUUAUGACAAUUUAUAAAUUUUUCUGUUUUGAAAAAAUGAUACUAAGUCCAACCAAUUCUAUCGCUAAAGCCCAAGAAAAUAAGUUUGCUAUUGGAAAAUCUACGAGUAUGUCAUGUGGUUAGCAUGAAGUUUAUUUUUGAAUAAGUUGAUCAAUUGAUUAAUAGAAUGUUAACACGCAGGUGAGAUUAUAUGUAUCAAUAUUUUAUCGACCAACUUAUUAAAAAAAUAAAUUUCAUGAUAGCCGGAUUCGUGAUUUAGUAGUGCUUUGAAUUAUCUUGUUCAUGGCAACUUAAUAUUGGCUACAAAGAGAAAAGAAAAGAAGCAUUCAACUUUGAUGCAGCACUCAUACUCACUUCCUCUAAAAAUUAGUCUUAUUUAACUUUUUAUUCUCUGGCAUUUAAAUAAGAGUUUGGUAUAUUUAUGAAAUCAUACAAAAUCUAAAUAAUAUAAAUUAAAUUAAGUUUGAAAAUAACAAUUCAAAACUAUAAAACUUUAUAAUAAAUUACAACAUCUAUAAAUUAACAAAAUUUAUAUAAAUUUUUUUUAUUAUUAAAAAUGUCUGAAAUUGGAUUUUGAAAAAUUAAACUAGGACCCUUAUUUUUGUAUAUUAAAAUUUACUUAGAAAACACUUGCACAUAGUAAUUUUCUUUUAAAAAAAUUAAUACUAAAUUUUAAAACUAGAUUUUUAUUAUUAAUUUCAAAAUUAAUAUGUAUUUAUUUAAUUUUAAUUAUUGCAAAGUUAACAUUACAUCACAUUUUGAAUUUUAAAUUUUUACAAAUUAACUAAGAUUAAAAUAAUAAUAAUCCUUCGUUCCACACUCAAAAAUAAAUAAUUUUGUUUUUGAAACAAAAUUUUAAAAUUUAAUAAUAUAUUUUAAGCUCUAUCCAGCAUCAAAUAAUAAAAUAAAAUAAAAAUUUAUAUUCAUUAAAAAUUAAACCAGGUACUAUUUUAAUUUUUUUGGAAUGGAGGGAGUACUAAUAAAUUACAUAAAUACUGAGAAAUUAAGAAAACGUAAAAGGAAAAAACGAUGGACUUGAAGCCCUACCAAACUCUCUUUCUUCUCCUCCUCUUCACUUCUCUCUCCACUUACCAGUCUUUGACGCUGUAAAGCAAACCCUAAAUUGAUGCCUCGAGCUUCCUCGUCUUCAGGUGAGAUUUAAACUUUGUUUUCGCAAAUGCUUUUCUCUGCAAGAUUUGUAUGUAUGCAUUUUAUAUACAAAUGCAGUGUUUUACAUAAUUUCUAUUUGGUAAUCUCACCAAUCAUUUUUACACCUUUAUAUUUGCGAUAGAUGUAUCUUUAAAGUUAAAAAAAAGAAGUAAUCUUUCGCUCCCAAGUAUGUUUAUGAAGAAGAAAAGAGGACAGAAUGGGCAAAAGUAAUUGGAGGAGAGAUUUUGAAUGGUAUCUCAGCUUGUAAAGUCUCAAUUGAAUGGAGAUUAUUGUUUUUCUUUUAGUUGUAGUGAUGCAAUAGGAUUUAAAAUACCAAAUUUUAAAUCAAUGGGUUAUAUUUUUCAUUCCUUUAUCCUCACUUUUAUCUGUAUAAUUGGAUAUUCUUGUAACGCGCCUCAUUUUCUUCUCCUAUUAUUUUCGAAUAUAUUUAUCAUAUUUUUACUUUUUUUUAAAAAGGUUGAUGGUGCAUCAUAGUUUAUCAGGUGUUUCUUAUUUUAUUGAGGUUUUGUGGAUUCUUAUUUAAGAUAAUGAAUGAUGGUUUUGUUUUUUUUGGAUGAAUAAGAAUGAAAUGUAGUUCUGAUAACUCUGUAACAGAAUCACGGGUAUAUCUAUCCUUAAGUAGUAUAAAUUUAAAAUAUUUAGUCAUUGUCUGGUUGAUAUGCCCCUGCAUAUGUUGUAUUUUCCUUCUGCAUUUUCCUUACUUACACUUCCUAAUCUGUUUGGCUGAUUCUAUUAUUGUUGAAGUGUUAAUCUCUAUUUUUUUGUCCUAGGAAUAUGAUAACCAAGCACCUGAAUCAUAUAGUAAGUGCUGGUUGAGUUGAACAGCUAAAAAUCAGAUGGUUAGUUAUUAUUUUACACCCCACGGUAUCAUCUGCAGCAUUGGAACUUUCCAUUAGGUUUUUGGCAUUACAAAACCAAAUUCUGCUAUUUCUUUCUCUCUCGCCGACCCAUAUACACAUAAAACCAUGAAUUUGAAUCGCAUCUUUUCCAGGCAAACAGUUAAAAAUAUUACAAGGCUCAAUAGUAGAGUUCUAUCUCCAUACCUACAUUCUUACAAAAAUGCCUCCAUAACCACCCCCAUCUCUUCGCCCAUUCGUUCAACAAAUACUCAUGCGUCUUCUCCUUUCCAAAAUCGUAAAUGUCCAAAACCCAGUUGGUUCUUCUGUAAUUUUUUUCACUCUUCUCAAGUAAUAGAUCUGAAGGAUUCAAGCAGUGAUGUAGAACAUGAUUCUGAUGAUUUAGAGGAUGGACCCAUGAAUGAAUUCUUGUCCAGAUUUGUCUGGAUAAUGCGUGGAAAGCUCUCUGAAGUCUACACUGAAUGUGAUAAGGAAACAGUUAAUGGCAUGCUUCUGAUCAUUGUUGGAAAGGUUGUAUCAGAAAUGGAGAUGGGCGGCCUUGAGCAGAGACUUGGUGCAGCAGCAGUCACCCCAUCAGAUGAUUUCAGUGAGGACUUAUGGAAGACAGUUUGGGAAGUCAGCAACAUGGUCUUGGAAGAUAUGGAGAAGGCAAAGAAGAAGGAAAAAAUGAAGACUUUUCUUCAAGAUGAUGAAGUUAAGGAGAUGUAUAAAUUUGCUGGUGAGGCAGGUAUUCGUGGGGAUAUGCUGAGAGAGCUGAGGUUCAAAUGGGCUCGAGAGAAACUUGAGGAGGCUGAGUUUUAUCAGGGUUUGGAGCGUCUUCGAGAGGAGGAUGCUCAGUUACAAGAAGCAGAGAAAUCUGAAACUGUGAAUGAAGAGACUGUUGAAAGUGAUUUAGUUAUGGCAGAAGAAAUGAAGCCUAAGGUUAUUUCUCUCCCCAAAAGACAUGGGAAGAUAAAAUACAAGAUUUAUGGUCUUGAUCUGUCUGACCCAAAAUGGGUUGAAGUCGCAGAUAAAAUCCACAAGACUGGAGAAAUCAUUUGGCCUCAGGAAGCAAAGCCAAUAUCAGGGAAAUGCAAACUUGUUACUGAGAAGAUCCUUUCACUGCAAGAGGAUGAUAACGUGUCUCCACUGUUAGCUGAAUGGAUGGAACUUCUCAAGCCUAACAGGAUCGACUGGAUUAGUUUGCUUGAUAGAUUGAAAGAACAGAACACGGGUUUAUAUUAUAAGGUACUAUACAAUCUUUAUCUUCAGCUAUCUAUUAGAGUUGCAUGUAUCUCUGUAUUAAGUUAUUCUUUUAAUGACAUCGAUAUCUGCUUUGUUUUACUUUCUCUUAUCUAGAAGUUAAAUUAAGGAAAUAAAAUUGUGAAUGAUUCAGUAUCAUCGUAAUUACAUUGCCCAAUGUCACUUUCUACUCAGCUACUGCAACUAUAAUUGGAAGGCAUGCCACCAUUGAAAGAAACUCAUUUGUAGUUGUUACCCUUCUUUAGAUAUGGAGAAGUCUAGAUUGUUCAUUCUAGUAUGUUUUAUCUAGUAGUAUAAAUAUGAAUACUCCCCCUGAUCCUUUAUCUCAACCUCAGCUUCUUCAGUUUUCUGCCCAUAUUUUUAUACAUUUAGCCUUAGAUAUACCCUUUGAAAUAUAGAUGCCUAACAGAAGCUUUGGGCAUUGACCAGAUUGCAUCAAUGUCCAACGCUGACAGGCGGACGUGAAACUGUUGGUACAUGUUAACUUAGACCAAUUCCCUUUGCAAUGUGUGUAUAAUAAUUAUUGGGAAAUACUAUUUUCUCAUGUGAUUUUGAUAUUUUCUCCCCUUUCACAUGAAAGUGGGACCCAUUUUAUUCUCACGUGAGAGUGUAUCAUGUGAAAACAUCGAAAGCAUAUGUGGAAAUAUCAGUGUCCUAAUUAUUUCAUCAUUUGUGUUUUUGCUCUAUAGUUAUUAGUUAAUGCUUCCAAGAAAAGCAGUUCUUAUCAUCAAGGAAGCCAUCUUCCUUCAAAGAACUUUAUGCAGUCACACUAUUUGAAGUUCCUUUUAAACGUGGAUCCAACACCGCUGUACUCCCCCAUUUCAAGUUCUAGUGUUUAUUGUUAUUUAUAUAACCUUAUAGAUGGAGUAUUAUGAGUGUCCUAUCAGUAUCCUCUUCAUGUUCUGUUUUCUUAAUGUGGUCAAGUUAUCAGCACUUUUCAAGUCUUGUUGAGUCAGUUAGUGUUGAGUUUAUGGUUUCAUGUUAUGUUAUACUAUUCGUGUCUACUAGACUUUUGUCCAUACUACAAGGCCUAUUUGCAUCAUAUGCGUAUGUGAUUAAGGCAUGAAGAAUAUUUAAUAUGUCAGUAGUAUCUGCUAUAUUCAUACUUCUAGUUUAUUUGAGCUUGAUGCUGAUAAUAAUUUGAAGUAUAUGCUUUUCAUGGACUCAAUUGUACUGUAUCUGUGCACCCGAGAAUUCUCUUUCCCUAGAGAGAAACUCUGUUUGUAUGUUGGUUUGCGUUUUUGUAUGCCAGUUUGUUUUCCCCUUAUCCUCUGUUUUUAUGCUGCCAUUGUCUUACUUUGAUAUUACUUCAUAGGAGACUUUGGAGGUAUCAUUUAAUUAGGAUGUUUGGAACAUGCACAACCUAAGAAAAUAUCAGAGCAGUGAUGUAAACAUGGAUUUAUUUUAUUUAUUUAUUACUGAUCUUUGAGGCAUGCUAACACAACUGGUAGUUGGUAACAAUCACUAAUUCUAGUUUGUAUAUGCUGUUAUUCCUAAUAUUUGACUAUUAACAAUUUCUAGGUUGCGGAACUUUUACUUGGUGUAGAAUCUUUCCAAACCAACGAAAGAGACUACUUGAAGCUUAUUGAAGCCUAUGCAAAAGAGAACCGCUUAGAAGAUUCUGAAAGAAUACUUAAGAAGAUGAAUGAAGAUGGCAUCAUACCUAAUAUCCUGACAUUAAGCAUUAUGGUUCACAUUCACAGCAAAGCAGGCAACCUUGAUCCGGCAAAAGCGGCAUUUGAAAGCUUGAGGAGCCAUGGUUUCCAUCCUGAUAUGAAGGUCUUUAGCUCCAUGAUCAUGGCUUACGUAAAUGCCAACCAACCGCGGUCGGCUGAAAUACUGAUUGGAGAAAUGGAUACCAAGGGCAUCAAACCCUCAGAGGAGAUUUAUAUGGCCUUGCUUCAAUCAUAUGCCCGGUGUGAUGAUGUUACGGGAGUCCAAAGAACUUCUAGCGCUAUGCAGUUUGCAGGGUUCCAGCCGAGUGUGGAGUCUUGUAGAUUGGUUGUGGAGGCAUAUGGCCAAGCUAGUGACCCAGAUCAGGCGAGGUACCAUUUUGACUGCAUGAUUAAUAUUGGCCUCAAGCCUGAUGACAGGUGUACUGCUAGCAUGAUUGCGGCUUACGAGAAGAAGAAUUUAUUGGACAAGGCCUUGAAUCUUCUGCUGCAGCUUGAGAAGGAUGGGUUUGAGCCUGGCGUUGCUACUUAUAGUGUCCUGGUGGAUUGGUUUGGUCAAAUGCAGCUGAUUGAUGAAGCUGAAGAACUAGUGGGCAAGAUCGCUGAGCUGGGCGAGGCUCCUCCUUUAAAGGUUCACAUAAGCCUUUGUGAAAUGUACUCGAUGGCUGGGGAUGAGAAGAAGACUCUUCAAGCUUUGGGAGUUCUCAAAGCGAAGAAGGACCAGUUGGGGGCACGGGAAUUUGAGAGGGUCAUAAGAUCCCUUAUUGCUGGUGGAUUUGCGCAAGAUGCUGAAAGAGUACAGGGAUUGAUGGAAAGCCAAGGGCUUAAACCAUCAGAUCAAAUUAAGGUGGCGAUGAAGGCAUCUCAGUCCACCUUUAGCGGCACUAAGAGACCAACGAGAAUGCCUCCCUUUAAGACCGCUUGAGCAUUUUUUGCUUGAUGCAGUUGAAUGGAGUAAAUUGAGCUCUUCAGCAUGACAGUAUGUGAACUAUAUUUUUUUAGUUUGACAUGAUUACUUGUAGUAGUGUAAUAUCCUGGUGAACUGAGAGUAGGAACUAGUAAGUGGUCUUUUCACUAUGAAAUUUGUUCACUAUUGCAGCAUCAAUUCAAAUUAAUGCUUCACAUUCUCAUUUAUUCAUUUGCUAUGCUUACUACUAAUUGAUAAUGGUCGCCGUAUGGAUUGCUUUGGGUUUCAUUUUGCUUGAUCCCAUGAGAAAGUGCAGUUUUUUUUUUGUUAAAAAUACUUUUACAUUUUCCAAGUGCAGUUAUUUUAAUAUAUAGCAGCUUGCUUCUUGGAUUCAAAUGACAACUUUAUGUUAAAAAUACUUGUAUUUUCACCAGUGUAGUUAUUUUUAAAACCAGCAGCCUAUGAUUAAAUGAAUUUAAUUUUGGUCAAUUGAUCUAUACACUGCCAACACGUAGGCGGGAGGUGAUCUAUCUCUGCGUGUAGCACUGAACUGUAUUGAUCAAUUACCUAAUUUACCAUGAAGUUAACUAAUCGGAUCCACUAAAAACACAUCUAAAAAUAGUACUCCCCAAAAUAAAUCCUUUAAAAUAUGUAAAAUUUGCAUACAAGACUCUUUUAGCGGAAUGAAAAGAACAGUAAUUUACCUAUCAUCAGCUGCACUACAAGUAAAUAUUAAAAGAUUAUUUAACAACAUUUAAGGUGUUCUUAUCACACUUGAAGUUUGAAUGGGUUGAGUGCUUGUGUAGCUUCCUAAUUCCCAUGCAAAACUGUUAGGGAUCUAAUUACAAAACGAACAUCACGUCAAUUAAAAACGAAUAAAUUAAAACGUAAACUAAUUACAAAAGGAUGACCUGCCAUAUAAGGAAAGUUUGAUCAGAGAAUCUAUGAAUCUCAAAACACAAAGCAAUUGCCACCAAGUUGGGCAAAGAACCAUGAAGUUAAACAAAAUGGGGGUAUACAACACAGCCAAAGUAUCAAAAGCAAAAACAUAUAUAUUGGCCUAUCUAGCCUUGUUUAUUCUAGGAAACACCAAAAACCAUUUAUUUUUACCAAAUUGUUGUUCAAAAUUCAUCAAAAAUGGGGGAACAAAGGCCAAUGUUCCGGUUUCGCCUACCUUGGAUGCUUCCAUCUGCACCAGCUCCUCCUACUGAAGCUGUAACCCAAAGCCCUCCCCGUGUAACCACAACCCAAACCCCUACAACUUCAGCUGAAACCCAAACUCCUGCUCCUGCUCAAAGGCAACCAUUUAGGUUUGCAAGUAUAGCCCCAUCACAACCACCUCCUCCCCAAGCUCAAACAUCACCAACAACUGAUUCCCAAUUCAAUACCACUCAAACACGGGCUCCCACAACUCAAACCACACUUCAAACUCCAAGCCCUGCCCAGUCGGCUGCUUCUACUUCUACGCUGCCAAUUCCACCUAUAGUUGAAAAACAAAUCCCCACUGAGACCACCACCACUCCUACCCCCACAAUUCCACCUCAGAUGCCGCCAUUGAGGUUUCCAAGGCAAGUUGCUGUACAAGAACCGCUUCCCCAAGCUGAGCCAUUAUCAAAAACCGAGUCUCAGCCCUCUUCACCAUCUCGUGCAUCCCCUCAAUCCCGAGCUGCCUUUCAGCCCCCAUCACCAGCUCGUGCAUCCACUCAAGCACAAGCUGCAUCUCAGCUGUCAUCCCCAGCUCUCCCACAGCCCCAAAAAUCAUCUCAAACAGUCCGUCAGCCUCAAUAUUCCCUUUUGCCCUUUCAGUCUUCGGGCCAAACAUCUUCAGUUCCCUCCUCUCCAUCUCUUACAACCAAAAAAGUACAACCAACAGGAGGAACAGCUACUCAGCCCCCUUCUCCAUCGAAAACAUUAAAACCCAUAGAGAGCUCUCAGCCUCCUCCCAGUUCCCAUAAGGCCCUAUCACCUGUCUCUGAAGAGGACCGAAACCUAGCUGUGCCUCAACCACAAUCACUAGCGGCUCAGUCCAAGACGGAUAUUACAAAGGGUCCAACCCCCACCUCCCCGAUUAAAGCAACCAUUCAACCCACUGUGACUGUAGCACAGCCUUCAAAGCAACCAGGUCCUACAGAAGCUACUGCACCAACUCCUGUGGUGGCUAAAGAGAUACCUUUCCCAACAACGAAAUUAGAUGAUUACCCCAAGUCUCUCAAAAACUCGGAUGGAUAUCCCGUGGAAACUAAAAAAGAGAAGGAAAUGGUGCAAAAUACCACUGCAGUGGCACAUGAAGAACCAAAGCAGAAAACAGUUGCGGAGUAUUUGACUGAGGAAUCAGGCUCAAUAGCACAAACGAAGGAGCAGCCAAAGGUUGCAUAUCAAGCAGAAGAAAAGCAAGAGAUGGUUCGCGAAAAGGAGGUACCAAAUUUAGAUACCUCCAUCUUGAAUGGAAAAAAACCUAAACCCAUGAUUUCGCACCAGAAAGACAAAAGCACUGCAAGUGAAUCUCGUUCAAAACCCAUGGUAUCAAACGGAGAACGAGUUUCCCUGCAAAAAGAGAUAAGGAAUGACAUAUCUAAGCUUGUUCGUAAGAUGUCUACUGCACACCCAGAGCAUCCUAUGGAGGAGAAACCAUUGAGUGUGAUAAGCCUGGUUGGUGAAAAUAGAGGAGCAUCCAUGCAACUAGAUUUUGAGGCAGCGAAAAGAAAAGCAGUCCACAUUCACGGAGGCUAUAAGAUCAAUCCCGAUGACAGUGCUGAAGCCACCACUGAUGGAGAGGAAAGCUCCAAGGACAGAAGGUCAAAAGAUGCAAAAACCAAAGAAGAUCAGGCGACAAAAGCAUACAUAAACAGCAAUAUCCAAAAUAUCAAUAACUCAAUUCUGUUGAACAGUUCCAUCGCGGAAAGGAAUCCCGGUGUCCACCUAGCUCUCUCUCAUCAUCCAACAAAGCCCAUCAAGUCUAAUGAGAGAACAAAAUCCCACGAUACACGCAAGGCUGAAGUCAACAUUACCCCUUCAGAAAAGCUCACCUAUGAACCCACCAUCCUCAGAGGCCUCUAUAUGGCGCCAAGUGAGUCUGACCCAGAUAAUCCUGAAAAGCCUUGGUCUCUUGGAUCUCGCUAUGGCUGCAGCGAUGAGAACAAAGAUAAUGAGGUAGAUGUUAUCUGACAAAGUAAAUUGCAAUUAUUACUCAAUAACAGAUGCCGAAAGAUAUCAGAGUUCUUUACAUAAUAAGGAUGCUACAUCCACAGAAACAUGCUUGCCAUAUUGAAAGAUAUCAGAGUUCUUUACAUAAUAAGGAUGCUACAGCCACAGAAACAUGCUUGCAAUAUUCAGUACUAGAUGCCGGAAGAUAUAUCAAAGUUCUGUACAUAAUACGUAAACAGUAAUUAUAAGGAUGUUUCAUUGUCCACAGAAACAUGCAUUUUGAUUGAAUUCUGGAUUUGCAAAUCAUUAGACAUUUUCCAAGGAAAAUUGCCUUAUAACGUAAUUUUCUUUCAAUUAUUAAAAUCUUAUUACACAAUAUUACAUAUCUACAACUAAUAAGAAAUUCUUCUGUAACUAAAAGACUAACUUCCUGAAAUAAUAACAUCGUGAAGAUGAAGUUAAACACAAUUUCGGUUCUUCUUGGAUUUGGAUACAAUUUUUGAAACUGACAUCACAUAAAUCAACAGAUGCUCUCCAAAACUCUUCAUAGAUGACAAUGGUAAGGCGUAAAGAGCUUUCUUCAAGAAAAUACCUACAAACAACUUCCAGAAACAGAAAAUGACAGUUAUUCGCAGGCGGGUUUAGUAUCAAAGCUGCUUAAACAUAUAGCAAAGGCUUGGAAGGCAGAGAGAGGGUAGCGAUAAUCCAUGGUAAAAAUGUCCUUCCCAAUCUUUCCAAAUUGUAGUAUCACUUUCUCUUGCUCUACAGAUGGAAUGUCUUGGGAUGAAUCAACAGCUGCAACCAGCUGGAAGUUCUUAACAGAAGCCACGGUAACACGUCCUUUAAAAUUCAGACACCAACAUUGCAACUGCUCAUGCCAUCUAGGAGCUUUAUUUUUCAAAACUAAUGGAUGUCCUGUGUUGUGGAUCGAUUCCAAUGGUUCAGCAAGACUUGUGGAGCUAAUGUCUUGAUCUUUCCCUUGCCAAACUGAAGGGGGAGAUAACUUCUUAUCAAUGCAAUUCCUAAAUGUUGAUGGAGUAGGGGCAGUCCCCCCUUCCUGAAUUGAAGCAGAGGGUAUCAAGUGCAUGGUGCAUUGCAUUCUUCUUGGUCCUCUUGUGCGUAGAACAUUAAGCUCAUAAGAUACAGUGGCCACUUUAUGAUUACCAACUGGUACACUUGGCGAAACCUUCUUCAAAUUUACUUUUUGAUAUGAACGGACAUUAGACACAGUUGAAGGCUCACAUGGAGGCUGACUGUCGUAAAUAACAAACUUGGUGCCAAGGAAGUUGGACCUGUUUGUAGUUUUCCAUUAAUUUUAUGACAAAAAAAUGGAAUUGUUCAAAAUUAGGUAAACAUAUAUUUUAAAUCAAAAGAAAUAAGGAAAUAAAGGAAAACAUGCCAUUAAAGCUCACCUCAACUUUCCAACAUAAGCAUCACUGGCUCGAGAAAAAUCAUCUGCAACCAAGGAUAUAACAAAUUCUGUUUUUGUGGCCCUUCUAAUCUUCUUUGCUGUCAACAACAAUUUACUAGCAUCCCCUGCCAGUGCUGUGAUUAGAACAAAAUCAUCAGUGCAGUAUAAGAUAAGAGAAAGAAGUCUUAUUAUUUUCAAUCAUUUAAUAAUUUAAAUUUUUUGGUGAUAGUUUGUAGAAAUAAAAAAUUUGAUCAUUAAUCUGUUUUCAAGAUAAAUAACAGAUCUGAUUGCAUAUAAUAGGUUAUCCUAAGAUUUACCAUCCUACUCCUAAAAUUUCCCAUACAACUGAUAUUUAUAUAUGAUUUCAGGAAGUAUCAUAUUUAGAAAUACCCAAAAAGAAAAUACAUAAUGUAAUCGAGUCCCUUUUAAAAGUAGUAAAGCUAAAUUUAAUGACAAUAAAAUGAUUAAAAGAACUAAUGUAAAAAAUCAUAAUUUUCAUCUCAACAUAAAAAAAAGUAAGUAAGUCUGAAGAUUGAGUAGUAGGUCAGUUGCAAAUAAACUAGAAAAAUUUCACGUUAACAAUCAUAUCUCCAGUGCUCAACUGAUCUUCCCUUGGAUAAUGAAUAUCUCAAAUCGUCAAUUAAGCAAAAGUGCUAUUUACCAGGACUGAGGCCAAGAUAUAACUGAUAUGUUGAGGUUGCCCUUCCCCUCUUUAUAUAGCACUGUAUUGGAGAAUCUCUUGGUCCCGGCUGAAAGCAAUUCAAUCAUGAGAGUUUAAGAAAAGGAAACAACAUAAAUCAAAAACUUAAUUUAUGGAGUCUGCACUAAAGUGAAAAACGCAGAAGGAUUAAGUUACCUGCUUCAGUGACAUGGGGAAAGUGAACAACCCACAUUGUUCUGGAGUCCUAAUAACCUCUUUUGUUGUAGCCCUCCAUGACCUGCAAACUGCGGCACAACAAACCACGUCCCUCCGGGCAGGCCACACCGUCUCACUCACUUCUAAGCUUCGGAUUAUGUCAAGAAGCAACUCCGGGGGCAAAUUUGCCCACCUGCUCUGUUGAACUGUUGCAGGUGGAGAUGUAGACCUUUCAGGGGCUACAUAUGACCUUCCACGACCAGUUCCGCACUUCCUCUCAGCUUGCCUUCUUGACUUAUUCUCUAAACCUUCUCGGAUUCCCCGAAAUUCACGCACUAAAUAUCUAAGCAGCAUUAUACACUGAAUAUCCCUCGCUCAACCCGAAAGUUUAUCUAUAUAAUUUGAAAUUUUUUAAAAAUGAAUUAGCACAUGUCCCAUAAGAUUAGAUAAUUUAAUCAUAUAAACAUUCACACUCAUAUGAUCGAGUUUGCAUAACAUAACAGUCAGUUAAUCAGUAUAAUACCUGAAGAUCAAGGCUUACACAAAGCAAAAUAUGGAAUAGUUUGGAAGAUGCUUGAGGCCACAAAAAUCAAUACAAGUAGAGAAUGUAAAAUAAAACACUAAUUCAGACAAUUAAAUGAAGAAUAGGUCACCAAUGGUACAUUAAAAGAUAAAAUCAACAAUGAAAAAGGAUUCAAAAGUUUCAUUUUCAUUAGUUCACUCGAAAUAAGAAACUCGGAACUAAAAAUUGUAACUAUACUUCACCAGCCUGCUUAAUUGUUAAGAGAAAGUUGAAAAAAGGCAACAAAUUUAGAUUUUCUGACAUUAGGGCUUCCACAUUUAGAAACAAAAUCCCAGACAAACCAAAACAAAAACAAAAAAUUAAAACAAUUGUAUCCAAUUCCGUUUCAUUUCUCUCAGUUAUCUCAACAAUCAAUAAUCAUGAACAUUCUAGAAGAAUUCGAUAAUGCAGAAAUUUACCUAUUAUGAGAAAACUUCGUUAGAAUUCAGAUAGACGGAAACUUCAGAAAUUUCAGAUCCAAAGCGGAAUGUUGAUGUCUCCCAUAUACAAAACCACAAUCUCAGAUCAGAAAAUGCCCAAGUUCAUCGAGGAAUUCAAUGGCUCGAAAAACCAAUAUUAUAGUACUAUAUAUAUAUAUAUAUAUAUAUAUAUAUAUAUAUAUAUAUUUGUUGUUCCAAUGUAUCGGAGAAAACAAAAAGGAGUCUCUCUCCUCUCCCCACUCUGUACUCUUUGUUUUGUUUUGUGUAUUACGCAACACUAGGCAAAAAUUGGAAGGGCUACCGAGUAGAGAAACAAAACCACAAUUAGCACCACCGUCAGCUGCCACCACCACCGCCACCGCUAUCGAAUUUUUUUUCUCUAACGCCGAUUAAAGCUCUCGUCUUUGUGAAAAAUUUAUACUAGUAAUGUUUAAUUAAUUUAACCGUCCUUUUUAACUCUUUUUUUCCUGUUUAAGUUAACGGUAGGGUGUUUGUGUUGUGUGUGAGUGCUCAAACCUUUUGCGUGAUCUGCAUGACACGUGUCCAAAUAUUUGUGGGUGAUAAGGUUCUAUAUCAUUUUCAGUUUUGGGUAAGCGAAAUGGACUUUACCUUUAGGCUUUAGGCUCCACCGCAUGCUUUCUUAAAGUAACACAUAGGCCCAUGGUAAAUACAAAUUUUUCUUAUAUUUUUUUUUAAAAUAUACAUUAGAAAAUGAUAUACAUAUCUAUAAAUAUUUAACAAAAUUAAAUUGCUUGCGAUAACAUAGAAUAAAUUAAAAUAAGAUCAUUCUUAAUUCCUAUCUAUCUCACGUAUACAUGUACGUGACAAUCAUAAUCCAGCUGAAAAUUUUCGUUACGUAUAAUAUGAUUCAUAUAUAUAUAUAUAUAUAUAUAACAUGACAAUUUAGCACUUCUUCAUUUUAAUUUUUUCUUUGAAUAAAACUAGAAAUUAUAAGUAGAAUAUAUUUUACGAUCACAAAAUUGAAUUAUGCAAGUUGUUCUUCUUUAUACUUCUUCCGUUUUAAAUUAUAAUUAUUGACUUUUGAAAAAUCAAUUUCAAAAUUUUUAAACUCAAAAUUGACAUAAAUUCAAUUAAUUUAUGUCAAUAUAAUUAUAAAUAUUAUAAACAACCUAAAAAGUAUUAUUAGUUAUAUAAUUUAUUAUUUUAAAAACUUAAAUAAAUUAUGUCAAUUUUAACUUUAAAAAUAUCUUAAAUUAACUUUUAAAAAUUAAUAAUAAUUUUAUAAUUUAGAACAGAUUGAAUAUAAUUUUCACGAGAGUAAUAUUAACUAGGGUUCCAUCGACCAAUCUCCAUUCUUUCGACUCGUUGUUCUUGUUUGUUUUUUUUUUUAUGUUACUUUACUUUUUUAUGGUGUUUUAUUUCUCUUCAUUAUUUUUUUUAAGUUACAAAACUUUUUCAUAUCAUUAUGUUUGGUUUGGGAUCUGGUUACCAUGAAAUUAAUCAAUUGAUUAAUACGUACACACGGGACAUCUCUCAGCCUGCAUGUCGACAUUGUAUUAACUAAUUAAUCAAAAUUAACUUCUUGUUAACAUAAAAUAAAAUAUAAUGACAGAUUAAUAGACCACAAUCAUUAAAAGAUGUUCUUAACCUGCAACAAAUAUUUAAUCUUUCAGGCCACGCCCGACAACAAUAAUAAUAAGAUUGAAUUGCAUUAGAUAUGACUAAAUAUUGUCAUUAGGAAUAAUAAAUUUAUAUUAAAAAUUAGAUAAUAAAUUAUAUAAACAUGACAUUUAAAAUUAGUACUUUACACCAUUCAUAACAACAUGUCACAUAGGCAAUUUAGGGGAAAAUAAAUAAGAAUUUUCAAAUCCAGUAUAAUUAAUUAAACAAUAAAUAAAAAAUUAUAUAAGUAGUUAUUACAGAUUAUAUCUCUAAUUAUUUAUUUAUUUUUUUUAAAUUUACCUACAUGAUAUGUUACUAUUGGAUGGUUAUAAAACAAUAGUUUUACAAAUCAUACUUAUAUAAUUUAUUUUUAAAAAUUAUUACAAAAUUAUAUUUAAAUGUAUCACAUACUAAACAUUUAUAAUAGCGAGAAACUAGAAAUUUUAAUUUAUAGAACUCAUUUUUGGAAGGUAUGAACUAGGAAGUAUGUUAUUAAUUCUUUAUAUAUAUAUAUAUAUAUAUAUAUAUAUAUAUAUAUAUAUAUAUAUAUAAUGCAACCCCUAUCAUGCCUCGUGAAUAUGUCUACUAUUAAAAUAACAUCAAAAGGUAGAAAUAAUAAAUAAAAAGAAAAGGGCAGAAAAUUAAGCCCAUGCUCGAAAUUUAAAUUCGAUUACUAUGAUUAACUUCAUAGUAAGUUGCUGAAUUAAUUAAUACAGUAUUGACACGCAGAAAAAAAGAUCAUAUUUCAAUUUAUGUGUCAACAUUAUUGAUCAAUUGAUCCAAAUUAAUUUUAUGUUAACCACUCUCAAAAUUUAGACAAUAUGUGGACCCCUUUUGAAGUUUCUAUCACUAAUUUCCGUACCUGAAUGUGUUUGAUAUUCUUUUCUACUUCCAUGUAAUUCUUUUAUUCGAAACUUUUAUCCUAUUUUUGUUAGUUUAUUUACUAUUUAUUUAUUUUUUGACAAAAAAAGGUCAGUGUCCUUUUUAAGACUAAGUCGAGUGUCCUUUCACAUAAGGAAAAAAGAGUAUAAAAUUUCAAAAAAUAAAAGUGAAAAGGAAGUCAUUUAUCUUGAUUUUUAUUCUUUAAAAUUGGGGGAAAAAAAAUUAAAUAGAUGUGACGUCCCCAAAAUAUGUAUAUAUCACUUAUUUUGAGUCGUCAAAUACAUGAUACAGAAUACAAAUACAAUCUUUAAUAUACAACAAGAAAGUUAUGAGUUUUAAUACGAAUAUUGUCUUCUAGACAAUAUCCACUCUCAGAAUAAGUCUUCAUUAUAUUUAUUGUCACACUAUUUAACAGAAUAGUGAGGACUACUAAUACUAUCAUCUGGACCGUCACUCCGUUCCCCGACUAGUCCCGGCUACGUUCUCAUUUCCUGAAGAGAACAGUGAAAGAAAGGGUGAGCUCAACUAGCCCAGUAAGAAAUAUUAUGACUAAGAUAAUGCAGAAUAAAUUAUCAUUAGNNNNNNNNNNNNNNNNNNNNNNNNNNNNNNNNNNNNNNNNNNNNNNNNNNNNNNNNNNNNNNNNNNNNNNNNNNNNNNNNNNNNNNNNNNNNNNNNNNNNNNNNNNNNNNNNNNNNNNNNNNNNNNNNNNNNNNNNNNNNNNNNNNNNNNNNNNNNNNNNNNNNNNNNNNNNNNNNNNNNNNNNNNNNNNNNNNNNNNNNNNNNNNNNNNNNNNNNNNNNNNNNNNNNNNNNNNNNNNNNNNNNNNNNNNNNNNNNNNNNNNNNNNNNNNNNNNNNNNNNNNNNNNNNNNNNNNNNNNNNNNNNNNNNNNNNNNNNNNNNNNNNNNNNNNNNNNNNNNNNNNNNNNNNNNNNNNNNNNNNNNNNNNNNNNNNNNNNNNNNNNNNNNNNNNNNNNNNNNNNNNNNNNNNNNNNNNNNNNNNNNNNNNNNNNNNNNNNNNNNNNNNNNNNNNNNNNNNNNNNNNNNNNNNNNNNNNNNNNNNNNNNNNNNNNNNNNNNNNNNNNNNNNNNNNNNNNNNNNNNNNNNNNNNNNNNNNNNNNNNNNNNNNNNNNNNNNNNNNNNNNNNNNNNNNNNNNNNNNNNNNNNNNNNNNNNNNNNNNNNNNNNNNNNNNNNNNNNNNNNNNNNNNNNNNNNNNNNNNNNNNNNNNNNNNNNNNNNNNNNNNNNNNNNNNNNNNNNNNNNNNNNNNNNNNNNNNNNNNNNNNNNNNNNNNNNNNNNNNNNNNNNNNNNNNNNNNNNNNNNNNNNNNNNNNNNNNNNNNNNNNNNNNNNNNNNNNNNNNNNNNNNNNNNNNNNNNNNNNNNNNNNNNNNNNNNNNNNNNNNNNNNNNNNNNNNNNNNNNNNNNNNNNNNNNNNNNNNNNNNNNNNNNNNNNNNNNNNNNNNNNNNNNNNNNNNNNNNNNNNNNNNNNNNNNNNNNNNNNNNNNNNNNNNNNNNNNNNNNNNNNNNNNNNNNNNNNNNNNNNNNNNNNNNNNNNNNNNNNNNNNNNNNNNNNNAACUUCUAGACAUCGUUAAUAAUGCAAAUAAUAAUAUUAAUAACUCUGUCAUCUCAAUUAUUGAUUUAAUAAUAUAUAAAAUAUCGACAAUAAUUGAAUAAAACUGAAUGACUUCUCACGUAAGCAUCAAUAAUCAAUACCGUGUGCUACUAUGCAACCACGCGUAUUCCUGUACUUUUAACACCGGGUGUUUCAACAGUUAACGGUAAAACUUCCGUCGUUAUUUUUAAUAAAAUAUUUUUAUCGUUUUCUCAAUCCGACAAUAAUUCCGUUGUGGGGUCCACCAAUGAUUAUGCCGUCGUACGAAUAUUCCCUGUUAAAACGAAUAUUCUCCGACCAAUCGACUAUUAUAUAACAACUUGCGUACUUUGCAAAAUUUAUAAAUAUUACCUACAACUAUAACAUUAUAUCAAAUUCAUUCAAAAAUGAUAAUUAUAGAAAAUUCAUCUUUAUUCAUAAAAGUUGGGGUCUUACAAUAGAAGAGUAUCUUUUAUGCAAAUUUAUUGUUAAGUCUUACUUAAUAUCCUACUUCAUUUGUCAUUUAUUAUAUUUUAUAAAAAUUGAUAUUUCUACAUGUUAAAAUGAUAUUUUCAUAUGAGUCUCUUUCACAUGGAGGUGAAACUCUGUAAGACCCCAACUUUUAUGAAUAAAAUAAAAUUUUCUCUAUUUAUUAUUUUGAAAUAGUAAGGGGUUGAUUCGAUUAAUAUGGUUAGUUAUGGGUAAAAUGCACAAAUAUUUUAAAUAAGCAAGUGGUUAUAAAAUAUUCAUUUUUAUCGGGAAAUAUUCGUUUGGUCGUGGAAUAUUCUCGUUGUCGGGGAAUAUUCGUACGACGGCGCAACCAUUUGUGGGCCUCAUAACGGAAAAUUGUCGGAUAAAAAAAACGACACGAAUGAGUUUUUUUAAUAAUAACGGCGUAAUGUUUACCGUUAAAACUGUUGAAAUACCCGGUGGUUAAAGUAAAGUAAUACUUGCACAGUAGCACACGAUAUUGCACGAUAAUUCUAAUUAUUGAUUCUUACGUAAGAAGUCACUACUCAAUAAUUGUUACAGUAAUUACUGUUUAAUAUUUUCUUUUAUUGAUUCAAUAAUUGCUACGUUGAUAUUUUAUAUAUAUUAUUGAUUCAAUCAUUGUCAUUGCACAGUAUUUUCCAUUAUUGUAAGACCCCAACUUUAUAUAAAUAAAAUUGAAUUUUCCUCUAAUUAUUAUUUUGAAAUAAUAAGGUGUUAAUUUGAUAUAAUAUUUUGGUUAUGGGUGAAAUGUGCAAAUUUAACAAAAUAAGCAAGUGGUUAUAAAAUAUUCAUUGUUGUCGGGGAAUAUUCGUUUUGUCGUGGAAUAUUCUUUUUGUCGGGAAUAUUCGUACGAUGGUGCAGCCAUUUGUGGGCCACAUAACGGAAAACGGUUGGAUGAAGGAAAACGACAAAGUAUGAGUUUUUAUAAAUAACGGCGUAAUUGUUACUGUUAACACUGUUGGAUUACCUGGUGGUUAAAAUACAGUAAUACGCGUGGUUGCACAGUAGCACACGGUAUUGCACAGUAUUGUUGAAUUAUUGAUUCUUACGUAAGAAGGCACUACCAAUAAUUGUUACAGUAGUUGUGACGCCCCCAAAAUAGGUAUACAUCACCCAUCUUGAGUCGCCAAAUACAUGGUACAUAAUACAAAUACAAACUUAAUUAUACAACAGUCGUGCAAUAUACGACAAUACAUAAACUGAGAGUUUUAAUAGGAAUAUUGUCAUCUAGACAAUAUCCAUACUCAAAAGAGUCAUCAUUACAAUUAUUGUCACACUAUUUAACAAAAUAGUGAGGACUACUAAUGCUAUCAUCUGGACCGUCACUCCUUUUCCCGACUCGUCCCAGCUAUAUUCUCAUUUUCUGAAGAGAACAGUGAAAGAAAGGGUGAGCUCAACUAGCCCAGUAAGAAAUAUGAUGACUAUGAUAAUGCAGAAUAAAUUAUCAAUAGUCUUCAACAAUGUUAAAUUGAUAAAAUACAAUAGACAUCAAGUUUAACUGCAGCAAUCCAUUAGAAGAGUCAAGUAGAGAAUAAAACCUACUAUCUUCUAUGAUUUAAAAAUGUUUUCAUCAAUUUUUAUCGCUGAGACUCAGCUUAAUAAAUAAAACACAUCAUCUAAUUAUCCAUGUACUACGGGCCAAGGAUAUUCAUUAAAUCAUCAAUGGUCAUGACUAUACCGAACAAUCUCUGGUCAUAAUUAUACCAAAAACUGUCCAUCAAUGCAUUACAGGCCACUGAGGACUUUUACCAUAUCAUUUAUAACAUUACAGGUCAUGAUUAUACCGAAUGAUCCCUGGUCAUAAUUAUACUAAGUCCAUCUAUGCACAUAAGCCAAAGAUGACUUUCAUUAUAAUAUAAGCAUGAGGAUGAUGACAAUGACAUAAUAAUUCAAUAAAACAAGUUCAAGAAUUAAUUUAUCCAAGAACUAAUAACGUCCAAAUUGUCAACACGAUACUUCUUUGUAGAGUAAAAUUCAAGAAUGAUCAGAAGAAUAUUUCCAUGAAAAAUACUGGAUGAAGCGCAAAUAUCAAGAAUAUUCUACCAAUUUCAUGGAGUAUAGAAGUCAAAACUUUAACCAACUGAGUAUAAGAAAGAAUAUAUGAAACUGCAAAUAGAUUUUCACCCGCCAUGCGGUAAUCCACGUAUACAGAUCAUUUCCACAAUUUAAUAAGGGAUGAAUACAAAGGAUCAUUCACCAUGCAUGUGGAAAUCCACAUAGACAGGUUAUUCCAACAGAAUAAUAAAGAAUGGAAUAACAGAAGGAUUCACCAUGCAUGCGAUAGAGACCGCACAUACAGGUUAUUUCCAACAGAAUAAUAAAUAAUGGAACCAGGUCUGGCGUAAACGCACAGACAGGAUAUUCUGACAGAAUAAUAAAUGCGAAAUAAUAAAUAAUAGAACCAGGUCCGGCGUAAAAUGUACAGACAGGAUAUUCCGACAGAAUAAUAAAUGCGGAAUAAUAAAUAAUGGAACCAGGUCCGGCGUAAAACGCACAGACAGGAUAUUCCUACAGAAUAAUAAAGAAUGAAAUAAUAGAAGAAUUCCACCAUGUAUGUGGUACUUCGCAUAGACAGAUUAUUCUAACAUAAUAAUAAAGAAUGGAAUAAUAGAAGAAGAUCACCAUGUAUGCGGUACUUCGCAUAAGCAGGUUAUUCCAACAUAAUAAUAAAGAAUGGAAUAACAGAAGCUCUCUUCAUGAAUAUAAAAGAAUAAUACCCCUUACAGGUACAAUAAAUAAUAUCCCUUACCUUAGAAGAAACUGGAUAUUGGAAUAGAAAGGUAGUUAACUUCUCUUCUUCUUUCUCUAUAUAAUUUCUCUCUCAAGAGUUUCAGUGAAUUCAUAAGAAAUAAUGAAGGAAUGAGCUUCUAUUUAUAGAAGAAUGGACUGAAUAGUAACUAAUUCAUGAACGGUCCAGAUUGAUUUACUAUUAAACUUUAAACCAACGGUCCAUACUGAUUCACUAUUAAACUUUAAACCAACGGUCUGAAAAAUUAGCACAUCUCCUCAUGGAAUAAUAUUGUACCCAAAAAUGAUUUGGACUAAAAAUAAAUAUAUUGUUUGGUGAAUAGUACCCUGUGAAUAGUACUCGUGAAUAGUAACUCAUAAAUAGUAACUCAUGAAUAGUAACUCGUGAAUAGUAACUCGUGAAUAGUAUUCCGACACGAAAAGUGUCCCAAAUACCCGAGUGAACAAUAUAAUCUCCAGACAUCAAUUAUUAUCGACAUAAAUAUCGAUUUCUACUAACACUAAUAAUUUCCACACAAUGGAACUAUCAAUUUCAUCUUUAAUCAACACGAGCUUAUUCAUCAUCAAUAUUAUAACUCACAAUAUUUAACAACCAGGUCGUUCCCAGGAAAGAGAGGGCUUUCCAAUAAAGAUUUCUUCCUAUUGGCGCGCAAUUAGGUGACCAAACCUCUCCUUGACAGAACUUCUAGACAUUGUAAAUAUUGUAAUUUAAUAAUAUGAAUAACUUUGUCGUCUCAAUUAUUGAUUUAAUAAUAUAUCAUAUAAUGCAGAUGAUACUGUGACAAUAACUAAAUCAAUAAUAUGAGAGAUAUUGUAACGCCCCCAAAAUAGGUCCAUUCCAUCCAACCCAUUUUGAGUCGCCAAAUAUAUGGUACAGAAAACAACUACAAAUUUAUUACAACAAUUGUCUUGCAAAAUACAACAACACAUAUGUUGUGAGUUUGGAUACAAAUAUAUAUCAACUGUGACUCAUGUCCCAACCGUGGACAGCAGCUCAUAAUGACACCUUACAUAAAGGUAUAGUCGAAAACUGUUUUAAAAAUUAGAAUCUUUGGGAAGUGCUCAAGGAAACCUUCGUACAUGGGAGGCCAUGCNNNNNNNNNNNNNNNNNNNNNNNNNNNNNNNNNNNNNNNNNNNNNNNNNNNNNNNNNNNNNNNNNNNNNNNNNNNNNNNNNNNNNNNNNNNNNNNNNNNNUGCUGAACCUUCUCUUCUUGAACUUUCCACUCCUAUUGUCUUGGCCAUGAUUACCACCGAAGUGGUUAUCAUUUUUGGCAUGUUGAUUUCCUCCACGUUUGUUAUCACCGCUUCGAUGACUGCUACCACUGGUAUUAUCAACUUAUCGGUUACUCUCUCUUGGUUGGGUUGACUCAUUAUCGCGCUCCAAUAACUGAGCCCUACUCACAACAUCUGAAUACAAACACAGUUUAUGAGAGAUAAGGUAUUGACGUAUCUCGGGUUUCAAACCUCUUAGAAACAUCCGCGUCAUUCUCUCCUCAUUAUCAACCAAGUGGGACGCAAACCGAGACAACUCGACAAACUUAGCUUCGUACUGCGCCAUGGUCAUAUUGUUUUGCUUAAGUUUGAUGAACUCUACCUCCUUCAUGUGACGAAUACUUUCAGGAAAGUACUUGUCAUUGAACAGCUCUUAGAACUUCUCCCAAAACAUCUUCAGUGCAGCAGGUUGAGUACGCUUUAUAGAUUCCCACCAGUAAUCUGCCUCUGCAAGCAACAUGAAGGUGGCAAAGGGAACCUUUUGCUCCUCGGAGCAUCCCAAGACAUCAAAUAUCUUUUUGAUCUGCUUUAUCCACGUCUCCGCUUUAAGUGGUUUUGGCUCUCCAAAAAAAUUCGGUGGUCCCAGCUCCUUGAACUGCUUAGCGGUGACCGACCGUGAGUUGUUAGUGUUUUCACCUGCAUUUUGGACAGGAGCCGCCUUCGCCUGAUGUUGCAUGAAUUGCAUAAAGCCUCUGACCAUCCCAUCAUUCACCAUUUCAUUGGUGUUAUUGUUUUCAUGAGGAUUAUUGUCUUCCUGUUGCACAUUACCUUGGACAUUGAUCGUUGGUGACUCAACGGUCUCACGUGCUUCAUUGCUUAUCUAAACAUUUUUGGAUGCCAUGUUCAAAUACUGCAACAAAACAAGGGUUAAUUAACAUAUCACAUAUUAUCCAUAUAUUCUGACCGACCAAUUAAAUACCAAAUAAACUUAGGUAGGUCAUACUAGCGAAGAAAUUCCCCCGUCUCUCCCCUCCUAGCUCUUGUCUCAAAUCUUAGCCAGGGAUCAUAUCCCUAAGCUUUGAUACCAACUGUGACGCCCCCAAAAUAGGUAUACAUCACCCAUCUUGAGUUGCCAAAUAUAUGGUACAGAAUACAAAUACAAACUUAAUUAUACAACCGUCGUGUAAUAUACGACAAUACAUAAACUGAGAGUUUUAAUAGGAAUAUUGUCAUUUAGACAAUAUCCACACUCAAAGGAGUCCUCAUUACAUUUAUUGUCACACUAUUUAACAGAAUAGUGAGGACUACUAAUGUUAUCAUCUGGACCAUCACUCCUUUCCCCGACUAGUCCCAGCUAUAUUCUCAUUUUUUGAAGAGAACAUUGAAAGAAAGGGUGAGCUCAACUAGCCCAGUAAGAAAUAUUAUGACUAUGAUAAUGCAGAAUAAAUUAUCAAUAGUCUUCAACAAUGUUAAACUGAUAAAAUACAAUAGACAUCGAGUUUAACUGCAGCGGAAUAAAUAAUCUAUUAGAAGAGUCAAAUAGAGAAUAAAACCUACUAUCUUCUAUGAUUUAAAAAUGUUUUCAUCAAUUUUUAUCGUUGAGACUCAGCUUAAUAAAUAAAACACAUCAUCUAAUCAUCCCUGUACUAUGGGCCAAGGAUAUUCAUUAAAUCAUCAAUGGUCAUGACUAUACCGAACAAUUCAUGGUCAUAAUCAUACCAAAAACUGUCCAUCAAUGCAUUACAGGCCACUGAGGACUUUUACCAUAUCAUUUAUAACAUUACAGGUCAUGAUUAUACCGAAUGAUCCCUGGUCAUAAUCAUACUAAGUCCAUCUAUGCACGUAAGCCAAAGAUGACUUUCAUUAUAAUAUAAGCAUGAGGAUGAUGACAAUGACAUAAUAAUUCAAUAAAACAAGUUCAAGAAUUAAUUUAUCCAAGAACUAAUAACGUCCAAAUUUUCAACACGAUACUUCUUUGUAGAGUAAAAUUCAAGAAUGCUCAGAAGAAUAUAUCCAUGAAAAAUACUGGAUGAAGCGCAAAUAUCAAGAAUAUUCCACCAAUUUCAUGGAGUAUAGAAGUCAAAACUUUAACCAACUGAGUAUAAGAAAGAAUAUAUAAAACUGCAAAUGGAUUUUCACCCGCCAUGCGGUAAUCCACGUAUAUAGAUCAUUUCCACAAUUUAAUAAGGGGUGAAUACAAAGAAUCAUUCACCAUGCAUGUGAAAAUCCAUAUAGACAGGUUAUUCCAACAGAAUAAUAAAGAAUGGAAUAACAAAAGGAUUCAUCAUGCAUGCGAUAGAGACCGCACAUACAGGUUAUUCCCAACAGAAUAAUAAAUAAUGGAACCAGGUCCGGCGUAAAUGCACAGACAGGAUAUUCCGACAGAAUAAUAAAUGCGGAAUAAUAAAUAAUGGAACCAGGUCUGGCGUAAAACGCACAGACAGGAUAUUUCGACAGAAUAAUAAAUACAAAAUAAUAAAUAAUGGAACUAGGUCCGACGUAAAACUCACAGACAGGAUAUUCUGAUAGAAUAAUAAAGAAUGAAAUAAUAGAAGAAUUUCACCAUGUAUGUGGUACUUCGCAUAGACAGGUUAUUCCAACAUAAUAAUAAAGAAUGGAAUAACAGAAGCUCUCUUCAUGACUAUGAAAGAAUAAUAUGGGUGGAAAUGAUAGCAACGCGCGGUUUGUCACAGCCAAGCAGUUCAAGGAGUUGGGACCACCAGAAUUCUUUGGAGAGUCGGAUCCGAUUAAGGCGGAAACGUGGGUCAAGCAAAUUACCAAGAUAUUCGAUGUCUUGGGAUGCACGGAGGAACAGAAGGUUCCAUUCGCCACCUUUAUGUUUCGUGGUGAGGCAGAUUACUGGUGGGAAUCUGUGAAGCGUACCCAGCCUGCCACACUCAAUAUGUCUUGGGAAACGUUUCAGAAACUGUUCAAUGAUAAGUACUUUCCUGAAAGUAUUCGUCACAUGAAGGAGGUAGAGUUCAUC